rnacentral:rRNA from 1 species
AUAGCCAUAAACACAGAUUUAUUAACAAAACGAAUAAAUUCGCCAGAGAACUACGAGCUACCGCUUAAAACUCAAAGGACUUGGCGGUGCUUUAUAUCCAUCUAGAGGAGCCUGUUCUGUAAUCGAUAAACCCCGUUAAACCUUACCAUUUCUUGCUAAAACAGUCUGUAUACCGCCAUCUUCAGCAAACCCUUAAAAGGUCGAAUAGUAAGCUUAAUUAUUAUAAAAUAAAAAAGUUAGGUCAAGGUGCAGCCUAUGAAAUGGAACGCAAUGGGCUACAUUUUCUAGUCUAGAACAUUAACGGACUUCUACAUGAAACAUUGUAGGAUAAAGGAGGAUUUAGUAGUAAACUAAAGAUAGAGUAUUUAGUUGAAUAGAGCAAUGAAG